rnacentral:tRNA from 1 species
GAUAAGAUGGCUGAGACUUAAGCGGUGGAUUGUAGCCCCACGAACAGAGGUUCAAGCCCUCUUCUUAUCA